GAGUUUGAUCCUGGCUCAGGAUGAACGCUGGCGGCGUGCUUAACACAUGCAAGUCGAACGAAGCGCCUUAUUUGAUUUUUCUUCGGAACUGAAGAUUUGGUGACUGAGUGGCGGACGGGUGAGUAACGCGUGGGUAACCUGCCCUGUACAGGGGGAUAACAAUCAGAAAUGACUGCUAAUACCGCAUAAGACCACAGCACCGCAUGGUGCAGGGGUAAAAACUCCGGUGGUACAGGAUGGACCCCGCGUCUGAUUAGCUGGUUGGUUGAGGUAACGGCUCACCAAGGCGACGAUCAGUAGCCGGCUUGAGAGAGUGAACGGCCACAUUGGGACUGAGACACGGCCCAAACUCCUACGGGAGGCAGCAGUGGGGAAUAUUGCACAAUGGGGGAAACCCUGAUGCAGCAACGCCGCGUGAGUGAAGAAGUAUUUCGGUAUGUAAAGCUCUAUCAGCAGGGAAGAAAGUGACGGUACCUGACUAAGAAGCCCCGGCUAACUACGUGCCAGCAGCCGCAGU
rnacentral:rRNA from 1 species